AGGAGGAGCACGCUGGCCGUGUGCUACAACAGUGAGUGAGGAGCCAGACCAGCUUGAGAGCUGGGGACGACUCAUACCAGGAGGCUACGGAGGAGCGGUGAGAAAUGGUCCAAUUUGAGAUGUUUUGAAGGUGGCAUUGACAGGCCUUGCUGGGCUUUGAAGAAUGAAUAGGAUUUUGAUAAAUGGGGAACCAGAAAGGUGGGCAUGAAGAAAAAGCCUGACAUGCUGGCUAGUAAUGAACCUGCCUGGCUCUGGAAGAAGCCAACCUGCCAAGAACUUCAUCAUGGGGAGCAGAGACAAUACAUCGGUGCCAGGAGCGCAGCCGCUGCUUUGUAUUUCAGACACCCCUUGCCUCCAAGGGCCCCCGCAGCUCAUUCAUUCUCACAGCCAUAAAGGGAGAGGCAGGAGGGGCAGGGAAGGCAAGAGAGCAGACGAUGCCUCCAAUUCUGCAUGGAGAGAAAUGAAGGGACAAAGUCACAGACACAUCUUUGCCAAAGUCACCCAGCAGGCCUUCUUCCUCCAUGGGGAACUGGAAAAGAAGGUAGAGGCACGUUCAGAACCUCCUAGGGGGCCCGGUGUAGGGCCGAAGCUGUCAGAAGGAACAAAGCCCGAGGAACAGCCCUCAGAAGGACCACAAAAUGACGUGUGGCCGGGAUGCCAAAGAGCAGCAGAUAAUAGAGAGCACCUGCCAGCCUUGUAGAGGAGGAGUGAUCAUUCACCAGUCCAUAAACAUCGAUUCCCGCUGCCGCCGCAGCCCUACCAGGACAGGCUGCGCAGAGGGCGCUUUCAUGUACCGUGUCUCUGCAAACGGUGAUGAUGAUCUUGAGUGGAGCCCAUUUUACAGGUGAAAACACUGGAGCCCUUGGAGUUGGACCCUUUUCCACGCGGUGCCUGUAACUGACUGAUGUAGUGAGCAAGAAUGUUGAGAAUUUCCUUAUUUGACCCACAAGGAUGCGGAGUUUCAGAGGAAAGCACAGAAGCCACUGAAAGGAUUUCUGCUUUUUGGAAAAGAGUAACCUGCCCAUGGGAUCCUCCAGCCAGUUAGUUACUCAGCAGGUACCUUGCACACAUCUGCCCUGAGCCCAGCACUGCGCUGGCUUCUACCACACACAAGAUCAUGAGACAGGGUCCUACCCUGGGAAUAGCCGGGCCAGCUGGACCAACACCACCAGGCUGGAGAGGUGGCUGCAGUGUGAGAUAGGACAAUGGCCAGAGCUGGAGUGUGUGGGUUAGAGACAGCCGUGGCUGACUCUGGCCUUGGGUCCAGGUAGACCCAGUUAAAGUUCCAGGUUCCCUCGUUUACCAGCCAGCAGGACCGCAGAAAACGACUUUUUCUCUGGUGCUCAUGUUUUAAAUGGGAAUUAAUGGUACCUACCACAUAGAGUCGUCGUCAGGAUUAAAUGAGGUUCGUGAAAAUAAACUUCCUAGCAUGGCGCCUUGCACACAACUAUAAAUGAAAGCCAUUAUGAGUAUUUAUGGCCUGCAGCCAUCCUUCCCCAGGUUACGGAGGCCAGCCGUGAGUCAGGAGCCUGUGGUGGAGAGAGGCAGGGAGGUCCUGCCACUGCCCGCACUGCCCCGGCCCCAGCCGGCACACAGAAGCUGCUCCUGGGCCUCCCCGAGC
rnacentral:lncRNA from 1 species